rnacentral:lncRNA from 10 species
CAGCAACUCUUAGCCAUGAAUGUAUUUGGAUAGCAUCCAAUUUUAUGAAAGUAUUAUCUUCUGUAUUGUUAUUACAGAAAUAUAAAUACCUUGCUGAAGAUAGCAACAUGUCUGUGCCAUCUGAACCAAGCAGCCCCCAGAGCAGUACGAGAACACGAUCACCAUCUCCAGAUGACAUUCUGGAGCGAGUGAUUUUAUUCCCCUUCUGGGUACUUGUUUGUGUCUCUGUCAGUUAAGAACAUUAAUGUUUUAAAACAUUAAAUAAGAGGUUUCCACUUUUUGGUUACCCCAAAAGAUAGUUUGUAUAGGAAAGGCAGGGUAAAUACAUGUUUAUUAUUUUCUUUAUUUACCAAUUUUUAGAAUACAGUUGGUGUCCUAACAACCUCCAGAGAUGUCUAAUGAGAUUUUGACUGUUAGCCAGGAUGGUCUCGAUCUCCUGACCUCGUGAUCUGCCUGUCGGCCUCCCAAAGUGCUGGGAUUACAGGCGUGAGCCACCACGCCCAGCUGACAGUACACUGUUGAACGGACAUGGCUGUGUUCCAGAAAAAACUUUGGCACUGAAAUUUGAAUUUCAUCUAAUUUUCACUUGCCACAAAGUAUUCUGUUCCCCCACCCCCGAACACUUACAAAUGUAAAAGUAGGCCAUACAGAAAGAAGCAGCCAGCUAGAUUUGGCUCACAGUCUGUAUAUAGUUUACCGACUCCUGCUCUAGCAAGAUGCACAGGUUUAUCUUGUGCAUGUCCUGCCCAGAGCAGAAUCAGCUAUUUCUCCAAGGAUCCCUGGUUCCAUUUAAUAGGAAAUGCCAUUUAGACAUCACAGCACACUUACUAGUGUCUGUAAUUUCUGGGCCUUUGCACUGGACAAAGUUAGGAAGUAGAUACUCUUUUGGAAAGGAGGAGUUUACACAGAUAUUGCCAAUUUAAAAUUGAGAUUAUUGGGGUUUAUUAACUUAUGAUUUUAUAUUUCUAUCUCUUAUUACAGUGAAAAAUUUAGUUCUUAACAUGAUUACAGAUAGGUUAUCUUGAAACUUAUACACAUUAGAUAUCAGUAUGAUUAUCAUUACUACAUAUACUAACUGUGGCUUAAAAUUUCAGUGGUUGUUUUUAGGAUACAUUCUAAGUUGUAUAGGCACAAUUCUCUGUCUUUUAAAAUCAUUUGAAAUCUCUGUAUGGUAUGCCACAAAUUUGAUAGGCUUAGGUUUAUUUUCAUUUGCUUUUGUUUUUUAGGAAUCAUCUUUUUUUCUUAAUAAUACAUUCUUUCAUGUAUGCAUGUAUGUGUGUAUAUGUUGUAUCCUACCUACACACACAAAACCAAACUAUACAUACUUAGAUCGAUAUACUUUUCCUCACUCCUUUUUAUAGGCUCCGCCAUAGUUUAUUCAGUCAGACUUUGAUAUUUGAAUUGUGUCCAGUUUCUGUCUAUUCAUUGGGUACUGAUUAUAAUGGUGUUGUGCAUUAAGUCAUUCUUUAAUUCUUGGCCACUGUGUUUUACGAUAGUU